rnacentral:rRNA from 1 species
UAACAGGGAAGGAUCAUU